rnacentral:rRNA from 1 species
AGAGUUUGAUCAUGGCUCAGGAUGAACGCUGGCGGCGUGCCUAAUACAUGCAAGUCGAGCGAACAGACGAGGAGCUUGCUCCUUUGACGUUAGCGGCGGACGGGUGAGUAACACGUGGAUAACCUACCUAUAAGACUGGGAUAACUUCGGGAAACCGGAGCUAAUACCGGAUAACAUGUUGAACCGCAUGGUUCAACAGUGAAAGACGGUCUUGCUGUCACUUAUAGAUGGAUCCGCGCCGCAUUAGCUAGUUGGUAAGGUAACGGCUUACCAAGGCAACGAUGCGUAGCCGACCUGAGAGGGUGAUCGGCCACACUGGAACUGAGACACGGUCCAGACUCCUACGGGAGGCAGCAGUAGGGAAUCUUCCGCAAUGGGCGAAAGCCUGACGGAGCAACGCCGCGUGAGUGAAGAAGGUCUUCGGAUCGUAAAACUCUGUUAUUAGGGAAGAACAAAUGUGUAAGUAACUAUGCACGUCUUGACGGUACCUAAUCAGAAAGCCACGGCUAACUACGUGCCAGCAGCCGCGGUAAUAC